rnacentral:rRNA from 1 species
GAUGAACGCUGGCGGCGUGCCUAAUACAUGCAAGUCGAGCGAACGGACGAGAAGCUUGCUUCUCUGAUGUUAGCGGCGGACGGGUGAGUAACACGUGGAUAACCUACCUAUAAGACUGGGAUAACUUCGGGAAACCGGAGCUAAUACCGGAUAAUAUUUUGAACCGCAUGGUUCAAAAGUAAAAGACGGUCUUGCUGUCACUUAUAGAUGGAUCCGCGCUGCAUUAGCUAGUUGGUAAGGUAACGGCUUACCAAGGCAACGAUGCGUAGCCGACCUGAGAGGGUGAUCGGCCACACUGGAACUGAGACACGGUCCAGACUCCUACGGGAGGCAGCAGUAGGGAAUCUUCCGCAAUGGGCGAAAGCCUGACGGAGCAACGCCGCGUGAGUGAUGAAGGUCUUCGGAUCGUAAAACUCUGUUAUUAGGGAAGAACAUAUGUGUAAGUAACUGUGCACAUCUUGACGGUACCUAAUCAGAAAGCCACGGCUAACUACGUG